rnacentral:rRNA from 1 species
AGUUUGAUCCUGGCUCAGGAUGAACGCUAGCUACAGGCUUAACACAUGCUACGUCGAGGGGCAGCAUGACGAUAGCUUGCUAUUGAUGAUGGCGACCGGCGCACGGGUGAGUAACGCUUAUCCAACCUGCCCUUGUCCAUCCGAUAACCCAUCCAAAGGCGGACUAACACGAUAUGCAGUUCUCACCAGGCAUCUAACGAGAACAAAAUGUGAAGGAGAAGGAUGGGGAUGCGUCUGAUUAGCUUGUUGGCGGGGUAACGGCCCACCAAGGCGACGAUCAGUAGGGGUUCUGAGAGGAAGGUCCCCCACAUUGGAACUGAGACACGGUCCAAACUCCUACGGGAGGCAGCUGUGAGGAAUAUUGGUCAAUGGGCGAGAGCCUGAACCAGCCAAGUGGCGUGCAGGAUGACGGCCCUAUGGGUUGUAAACUGCUUUUAUAAGGGAAUAAAGUGAGUCUCGUGAGACUUUUUGCAUGUACCUUAUGAAUAACGACCGGCUAAUUCCGUGCCAGCAGCCGCGGUAAUACGGAAGGUCCGGGCGUUAUCCGGAUUUAUUGGGUUUAAAAGGAGCGUAGGCAGGAGAUUAAGCGUGUUGUGAAAUGUAGAUGUUCAACAUCUGCAUUGCAGCGCGAACUGCUUUCAUUGAGUAUGCACAAAGAGAGAGGAAUUCGUGGCGUAGCGGUGAAAUGAUAAGAUAUCACGAAGAACUCCGAUACAGAAGGCAGCUCUCUGGAGCGCAACUGUCGCGGAAGCUAGAAAGUGCGGGUAUCGAACAGGAUUAGAUACCCUGGUAGUUCGCACGGUAAACGAUGGAUGCCCUGCUGUUGGUCGCAAUAGGUCAGCGGCCAAGCUGAAAGCAUUAAGCAUCCCACAUGGGGAGUAAGCCGGCAACGGUGAAACUCAAAGGAAGUGACGGGGGCCCGCACAAGUGGAGGAACAUGCGGUUUAUUUUGUUGAUACGCGAGGAACCUUACUCGGGCAUCAAUUGCAGAGGAAGGAUUGGGAGUCAAUGACGCCCUUCGGGGUCUCUGUGAAGGUGCUGCAUGGUCGUCGUCAGACUGAGUGCGGUGAGGUGUCGCGGUUAAGUGCCAUAACGAGCGCAACCCCUUUCGUUAGUUGCCAUCAGGUUAAGAGGGGCACUCCGGGGACACUACCUCAGUAAGGUGAGAGGAAGGUGGGGAUGACGUCAAAUCAGCACGGCCGUUUCGUCCGGGGCUACACAGGUGUUACAAUGGCAGGUACAGAGAGAUGGAGUUUUGUAAAGCGCAUCUAAUCCGUAAACCCUGUCUCAGUUCGGCCUGGGGUAAGCAACCCGACCCCAGGAAGCUGGAUUCGUUAGUAAUCGCGCAUCAGCCAUGGGGCGGUGAACACGUUCCCGGCCCUAGCACACACCGCCCGUCA